rnacentral:rRNA from 1 species
GAUUAACGCUGGCGGCGUGCAUGAAACAUGCAAGUCGAGCGCGGUGUGAUGAGGGGUAACCCAAUUCACAUCUAGCGGCGAACGGGUGAGUAACACGUGAGCAACCUACCUUCGAGUUGGGGAUAGCCCUGCGAAAGCAGGAUUAAUACCCGAUGUGGUCACAACAGGACAUCCUGAUGUGAGUAAAGGCGUAAGCCGCUCGAUGACGGGCUCGCGGCCUAUUAGCUUGUUGGUGGGGUAACGGCCUACCAAGGCGAUGAUGGGUAGCUG